CCUAAACUGUUGGGACCAAACCUCCCAAAAUCAAACCCAACCUUCCUUUUAUGGUCAUAAACCUUGUGUUUAAAUGUCAUAGAUUUCUAUUGACUUAUACUAAAGUUAUGGUGCGAAAACCAAGAAUAAUGCUUAUUUGGGCCCUUUUUUGGCCCCUAACUCCUAAACUGUUGGAACCAAAACUCCCAAAAUCAAUCCCAACCUUUCUUUUGUGGUCAUAAAC
rnacentral:lncRNA from 1 species